CCCUUAGAUGUUCGGGGCCGCACGCGCGCUACACUGAUGAAAUCAACUGGUUUUAUCGUCCUGGUCCGGCAGGAUUGGGUAAUCCGUUGAACUUUCGUCGUGCUUGGGAUCGGAGCUUGUAAUUAUUCUCCGUGAACGAGGAAUUCCCAGUAAGCGCAAGUCAUCAGCUUGCGUUGAUUACGUCCCUGCCCUUUGUACACACCGCCCGUCGCUACUACCGAUUGAACGGUUUAGUGAGGGCCUCGGAUUGGUCUCGGCCCGCUCUUUACCGGGCGGCGCCGUUGGUCGAGAAGACGCUCGAACUUGAUCGUUUAGAGGAAGUAAAAGUCGUAACA
rnacentral:rRNA from 1 species